CCGAUCUAUACAUUCAAUAAUCAUAUAUAAAAGAUAGGAUCAAGGUGAUCAGGUACGGUUAAAACAUGGGCCUUUUUUACAACUGAAACUUUGCGUUGUCUCUUCUUAUAUCCAGUUGCUGAAACAGGGUUCAAAUUAGUUACAUGGAUGUUGACUUGAGGUUUUCGGACCUCUUUUACAAACUGAUAUGAAGGUAAUUAGACAAUUAAAAGGUUAGUCAUCUCACGUUUUUGUUGUGUUCUAUUGACAUUAAAUCUGUUUUUUUUUAAACCAAAUAUGCAGAACAAACAUUUAUUUUUUGCUUUUCAGAAUUGAUCUCCUUUCAGAUUGGAGUGCCAUAAACGUCAAUAAUACUUGUGAUUCUGCAAAGGACUGAUCUCAAUAAUACUUGUGAUUCUGCAAAGGACACUUAAACGGAUCAUCUAAUAAAUAUAGGUUUAAGUAGAACUUACAGUCUGAUCAGCUAACACGAAUUCUAGUGUUUCAUCGGCAUAGGGAGGGGUUUGUUUCCAUGAGCGAAUAACUUUCACUUGUAGACGCCAUUUACUUUUAAAAGGCCUCAAUCCGUUUAUAAAAGUAAGAUUCUU
rnacentral:lncRNA from 1 species